CGUCUAUAAUUCUACCGUUGAUUCGACUCACUAGUGCCGCCAACGGCCGGGCUAUAAACGCGCCUUUAGAGCCUCCCGAGCCGAGGCAAUUUUGCUCCUGCAGUGCUGGAGAAGGACGCGAGAAGCGGCGAACUCAUGUGUAUACUACUAACUGCGUAAUACCUCAAACUGUUAAGAACACGUAAAUUCGGAGAUUUCAGUCCAAUUAGUACUUACUAAAUACAGUGACCAACCAUAUGUACAGUCGCAAUCAAAAAUACGCGGCCCACGGCUCCAAGCGCAGAAGCGGAGCCGUGGCGCCCCGGUGCGGAGCCGCACCGGGGCGCUGCCAUCUCCGUCGGGCGCCUGCUUUGAGGGUGCACCGAGUGACGCCAAUCUUCGCCCUCACUCUCGUGCGGCCAAGUCACGCGCUUGAUAAAUUUCAAGUGCGGCGUUCGGCUGUUUCGCCGAAAAAUAUGCGGCGAAACAUGUACUUUUUAUUGAGACUGUACAUUGCUUGAGACUUAACCGAUGCAAUCAUUGUGGAGAGCAAAUGUUCAACACUUUCAAGUUAGCAUGUGUGUUUAUUGUGGUUCUAGCAGUUAGUGAUUCAACGGAUUGUGCAGUUAAUGGUGUAUCCACAUGAAUGCACCACCGCCAUUGCGUUCGUCAGCAAAACUGUAGGAGGAGAUGUUGCACAGCUCGCUGGAAUAAGCGUACAAAUUGGUCUGGAUGGAUGGAUGCUACGAGCAUCCCCUUUGUAACAGGGCGGUGGGCUGAGCUACCAAGCUCGUCAUUAUAUUGCCUAAUGUCGCAUGCUAAAAAAAAACCACGAAGAAUUCUUAUCACCAAACUUUCUGAAGUUUGGAACUUUGUUGGGAACGUUUUUUUUUUUUUAUAUGCCUCCAUUGUUUGUCGUUUGCCUACUUCCACCAAUCUUCCAAUUGCCCCCUAAACAACACUACGACACAUCGCAGCUGCAUUCGCAGGCAUACUAAGCUUUGCCAUAGGACUAUUGGUGACCAGGAAAGAAAGUACUAAAGGCCUCUGAUGUUACCGAGCCGCUUACAUCGAGUAGCACAGCCCUGGUGCCUCUACAUAUGGCCAUAUACAGAAACGCUACUUUUGCUGCUUUAGAGCCGACCCUUCGAGACACCCGCAGAAUGUGCAUCAACUACACCAGGCGACUUAUUUUAAGGAACGAGGGCGUCACAGACGAGUGCGACACGACAUUUAUGGAAUUCUCCCGUACCAGAGGCAUGACACCCCCAAAAAGUUUUCUGGCUGUACCCCUGCCAGAACCCUGCCAUGGCUCCAGCAGAGCCAAUAGAGUGUAGUGUGGUGCAUUCACUUGGCUUCCUCACUUUUGGACCCAAACGCACUUCCGUAUUAUUAUGUGAAGUAUGAAGUAAUAAAUUAUUUCCCUGUAAACAGCUAAUAAGCUAAGAAAUGAACUGAUUUGUGCUUCGCCAUGUAUUCUUCACAAUGUAAAUAAAAGAUUAACUACAA